UACGAAGGGGGCUAGCGUUGCUCGGAAUCACUGGGCGUAAAGCGCACGUAGGCGGAUUGUUAAGUCAGGGGUGAAAUCCUGGAGCUCAACUCCAGAACUGCCUUUGAUACUGGCGAUCUUGAGUUCGGGAGAGGUGAGUGGAACUGCGAGUGUAGAGGUGAAAUUCGUAGAUAUUCGCAAGAACACCAGUGGCGAAGGCGGCUCACUGGCCCGGUACUGACGCUGAGGUGCGAAAGCGUGGGAGCAA
rnacentral:rRNA from 1 species